ensembl:lncRNA
CAGAUUUAUGUUUUUAAAAUACAGUGCUUAUUGAGAUUCCUCAUUCAACUUCAAGGAAGAACUGGAAAGAAAGCUGCAGAUUUAAUGUGCAGGCAAAGAAGACUCUCUCAAGUUGCCAGAAGCUCAGCAACAGCACUGAGGAAACAAGAUUGUCAUUUGUUUUUAAACUCUGGAUGGACUGCCUUCCAUGUGCGCUUUGAAUAACUAAAUACAGUUUCCCUGGAAGCUGGGCUUGACUGGAGUCUUCAGAUAAAGGUGUUUUGCACAAUUUCUGAGUGCUCUGCCCAAAACCAUUCUCCCCUUCUCCAUUGUUUGCUGUAGCAACUAGGGGAACCAAGAAGAUAUCAUAACCACACUGAUGAAGAGGAAUACCUGAGACAUCAUUCAAGUCAGGGGAUCCAAACAUGAACCAGGCUCUCAAACUUCUGGACACUAUGGAAGUUGAUGGUUGGACUAGAUGAUCCUAAUGGUCUCUCCAACGUUAAUUAUUCUAUGGAUGUUAAAGGGAAGAGAGUAGAACAG